rnacentral:misc_RNA from 1 species
ACAUCACGAGCAACAAUUAUAGGAUGACCUCCGCAAAAUGCGGUCUUGCUCUCUCUCUCUCUGAUGGCUUUGCCCUGAUUUCCACACACUGACACACGCGCUUGUUUGACCGGCCACAGGCCCUUCCCUCCUCUUCCCCCACCCCCAAAAUCGCUGACCGGCUUGAAAACAUUCGCGGCACACCAGGAGCCACCGCUGCCCCUGCUCAUCUCUUUCAGUCUCUCCUCCACCCCUCUCGCUGCUUUACUUUUUGCCUUCCUUGCCUACCCCCUUACGAGACGCACACCCACAGCACCAAUGCGACCGACGUGCCCGCCACUUCCUCCCAUACCAGAGACGAUGGACUGGGAGGGAGCCCCGCGCCAAGGGGCAUCAUGCGAUCGACUUUAUUGCCGAUUACCACCGCUUGCUCAAGAACCGCGAAAUGCCGGUCUCGCCUGGAGUGCAGCCUGUGCAUCUGAAGAAGUGCAUCAGCGACAAGACGGCCCCGCAGCCGUCGUCGCCAGACUUUGCCGGCAUCCUCGACUAUAUUCUGACUCACAUCGUCCCUGGCAUGACCCACUGGCAACACCCCGACUUGUAAGCGCGGUUCCCGGCCCAGCUGUCGCCAGCGGCGCUUCUCGGCAACAUCAUAGCUAGUGGGCUCAGCCAGCCCUGCUUCAACUGGAUGGCCAGCCCCGCGGCAACCGAGCUCGAGAGCAUUGUGACGGAUUGGCUGGCUCGCGCGUUUGACAUGCUGGAGGCCACGUCGUGGGGGAGCACGGGUGGCGGCGUGUUGCAGCCAACGGCCUCGGAGGCGACUGUGCUGGCGCUUCUGGCGACGGAGAGCCGCGCACUGGGAAAAUUCGCGACCAGCGAAGAAACGGCUAUCGAGCAAGCUCGCCUGCCACCCUAGCGAUCGCGUGCACUUCUGCGUGGAGAAGGCGACGCGAAUGCUGCUUUUGUGGCACGUGCGCACAAUAACGACCCGGCGUGAGGCAGGUGGUGACUGCCCGAUGCACGGCGACGAUCUUCGCGCAGCCGUGGAGGCGGACGUGGCGACGGGCUUUAUUCCAAUCAUGGUGUCCAUAAACUGAGGCACUACGGACGCCUGCGCCACGGAUGACUUUGAGGGCAUCGCCAAGGUUUGCCAGGACUACUCCAUCUGGCUGAACCUCAGCGCCGCCUAUGCUGGGGCCACUGCGGUGUGCAUUGAGAUGCGUGCGCCGCUGCUGCCCGUGUUCCAGCACGCAGACUCUGUCUUCGUGAACGGCCUAAAGUGGUGCUCUCGGAUGAUGAACGCUUUUUUUUCUUCCUCUGCGAGCGCAAGCACAUUGUCGCGCCGCUGAACGCCACCGGCGUCUACCUCGCAACCAAGUGCACGGCCGCCGACGCGGUGAUGAAUUUCAAGGAAUGCCAGCUUGGCAUGGGCCGUCUCUUUCGCGCCUUGAGAGUGUACACAACUUUGCCGUAUAUGGGGCUAGAGGGGGUUCAGGCCAUGAUCUGCCCGUCACUGCGCUCUCGCCACGCACUUGCACGACGUGACGGCUGCUUGCCUUGGCGACCUUGUUGAGUUCCCUGUUGCUCCCAUGCUCGGACUCGCCUGCUUCCGGAUCGCCGAAGAUGAUGCGGCAAACAGGCGCGACUACGCCCUGCUUAAACUGGCCGAGGAGGAGCGUCGUGCCAUGAUUUUGCAUCGCAACCCGGAUGGUCGUCCCAUCGUGCGUGUAGUCCUGGCCUACCCCGGGGUCGACGAAGAAGGACGUGGAGGACCCAGCCGAGUCUCUGAGAAGGUGAAAACGACGAUUGCAGCGAUUCCAUUGUGCUGCGGUUGACCGGUGUGCUUCUCCACGGAGGCACAGCUGCGGCAGCAGCGACUGGACAAAAGGCACCUAACGCGAUGCUCGAUGAGGUUUUCGGUUGUAGACGGUGACGCCCCGACAUGCUUACCUUACAAAUCUGUCCAGGGGACGGGGAAGAGAAACCGGUUUUUCGUCGGCAACAGCGAAGCUGGACCCUCUCAGCAAACCCACACACACCCUUCUGAUUGCUGUUUAUGGUUAUCUCUUCAUGCCAUGGCGGUAUGUGUGUGUGUGGAGGUGCUUCAUCGGUCGCAGCAACACCUCCGCAGUUUUGCCGCGUGAGGCACCUGUCGCCCACGUGGACCGGUAUCCGGAAAACGGGGGAGAGGGAGAAGCGUGUGACGUGAACUGGAAUCGCUUUUUUCUACCGAGCAGAAAC